AGUGAACGCUGGCGGCGUGCCUAAUACAUGCAAGUCGAACGGAGUGGCGCACGGGUGAGUAAUAUAUAGCUAAUCUGCCCCUUGCUGGAGGACAACAGUUAGAAAUGACUGCUAAUACUCCAUAGCAAGGGAUGAGUAUAUAUCGUAUCAGCUAGUCGGUGGGGUAACGGCCUAACGAGGCUAGGACGCUGUACUUGUCUGAGAGGAUGAUCAGUCACAUGGGAACGGAGAGACGGUUCAAACUCCUACGGGAGGCAGCAGUAGGGAAUAUUGCGCAAUGGGGGAAACCCUGACGCAGCAACGCCGCGUGGAGGAUGACACUGUUCGGAGCGUAAACUCCUUUUGUUAGGGAAGCGGUACCUAACGAAUAAGCACCGGCUAACUCCGUGCCAGCCGCCGCGGUAAUUC
rnacentral:rRNA from 1 species